rnacentral:rRNA from 1 species
CCCUUAGAUGUUCUGGGCCGCACGCGCGCUACACUGACGGGGACAACGAGUUUGCAACCUUGGCCGAUAGGUCUGGGUAAUCUUUGAACGCUGUUCGUGAUUGGGAUAGACCUUUGCAAUUAUGGGUCUUCAACGAGGAAUUCCUAGUAAACGCAAGUCAUCAGCUUGCAUUGAUUACGUCCCUGCCCUUUGUACACACCGCCCGUCGCACCUACCGAUUGAAUGGUCCGGUGAAAUCUCGGGACGGCGGCUUGGUCGCUUGCGUCCGACUGCUGAAACUUGAUUAAACCAUAUCAUUUAGAGGAAGGUGAANUCGUANCA